rnacentral:rRNA from 1 species
AUUGAACGCUGGCGGCAGGCCUAACACAUGCAAGUCGAACGAGUGGCGGACGGGUGAGUAAUGUCUGGGAAACUGCCCGAUGGAGGGGGAUAACUACUGGAAACGGUAGCUAAUACCGCAUACCAUCGGAUGUGCCCAGAUGGGAUUAGCUUGUAGGGGGGGUAACGGCUCACCAAGGCGACGAUCCCUAGCUGGUCUGUGAGGAUGACCAGCCACACUGGAACUGAGACACGGUCCAGACUCCUACGGGAGGCAGCAGUGGGGAAUAUUGCACAAGGGGCGCAAGCCUGAUGCAGCCAUGCCGCGUGUAUGAAGAAGGCCUUCGGGUUGUAAAGUACUUUCAGCGGGGAGGCGUUACUCGCAGAAGAAGCACCGGCUAACUCCGUGCCAGCAGCCGCGGUAAUUC